AUGCAGCUUUUAACUAACUUUUAUUUUCUUAGGUCUGAAGACAACACCUGCAUCAUGGGUGAUGUUAAAAACUUUCUAUAUGCCUGGUGUGGCAAAAGGAAGAUGGCCCCAACCUAUGAAAUAAGAGCAGCGGGGAACAAAAACAGGCAGAAAUUCAUGUGUGAGGUUCGAGUGGAAGGAUAUAAUUACAUUGGCAUGGGCAAUUCCACUAAUAAAAAA